rnacentral:rRNA from 1 species
AUUGAACGCUGGCGGCAGGCCUAACACAUGCAAGUCGAGCGGGAACUUCGGUUCUAGCGGCGGACGGGUGAGUAAUGCGUAGGAAGCUACCCGACAGAGGGGGAUACCAGUUGGAAACGACUGUUAAUACCGCAUAAUGUCUACGGACCAAAGUGUGGGACCUUCGGGCCACAUGCUGUCGGAUGCGCCUACGUGGGAUUAGCUAGUUGGUGAGGUAAUGGCUCACCAAGGCGACGAUCCCUAGCUGGUUUGAGAGGAUGAUCAGCCACACUGGAACUGAGACACGGUCCAGACUCCUACGGGAGGCAGCGGUGGGGAAUAUUGGACAAUGGGCGCAAGCCUGAUCCAGCCAUGCCGCGUGUGUGAAGAAGGCCUUCGGGUUGUAAAGCACUUUCAGCGAGGAGGAAGGAGUUAUAGUUAAUAGCUGCAACUUUUGACGUUACUCGCAGAAGAAGCACCGGCUAACUCUGUGCCAGCCGCCGUAGUAAUAC